rnacentral:rRNA from 1 species
AGCUCCAAUAGCGUAUAUUAAAGUUGUUGCAGUUAAAACGCUCGUAGUUGAAGCUCGAAUGAGCAGGUGGUGAGGAACUCUGCAUAGGGUUCUUGCUGUACUGAGUUAUUCGUGGUACCGACCGCAGGUGUGUUGCUUUGGUGCAGCACAUUGGCGAAUCGGGGCAAUUUACUUUGAGAAACACAGGGUGUUCCAAGCAUGUUGACGCAUGAAUAUUCCAGCAUGGAAUAAACUGGUAUGACCUGCAUUCUGCCAUUUUGGUUCGUAGAAUGUUGGUUGAAGUUAAUAGGGACUGUCGGGGGCAUUGGUAUUUGACUGUCAGAGGUGAAAUUCUUAGAUUUGUUGAGGACCAGCGAAUGCGAAAGCAUUUGUCAAGGAUGUCUCCA